UACGUAGGUGGCAAGCGUUGUCCGGAUUUACUGGGCGUAAAGGAUGCGUAGGCGGACAUUUAAGUCAGAUGUGAAAUACCCGAGCUUAACUUGGGUGCUGCAUUUGAAACUGGGUGUCUAGAGUGCAGGAGAGGUAAGUGGAAUUCCUAGUGUAGCGGUGAAAUGCGUAGAGAUUAGGAAGAACACCAGUGGCGAGGGCGACUUACUGGACUGUAACUGACGCUGAGGCAUGAAAGCGUGGGGAGCAAACAGG
rnacentral:rRNA from 1 species